rnacentral:rRNA from 1 species
UAGGGAAUAUUGGACAAUGGGGGGAACCCUGAUCCAGCCAUGCCGCGUGGAGGAAGACUGCCCUCUGGGUUGUAAACUCCUUUUAUAUGGGAAGAACCGUCCUCAUUGAUGAGUGACCUGACGGUACCAUAGGAAUAAGCACCGGCUAACUCCGUGCCAGCAGCCGCGGUAAUACGGAGGGUGCAAGCGUUAUCCGGAUUCACUGGGUUUAAAGGGUGCGUAGGCGGAUAUGUAAGUCAGUGGUGAAAUCAACGGGCUCAACCUGUUAACUGCCAUUGAUACUGUGUAUCUUGAAUAUGAGAGAGGUAGGCGGAAUGUUGCAUGUGGCGGUGAAAUGCUUAGAUAUGCUACGGAACACCGAUUGCGAAGGCAGCUUACUAUUUCGUAAUUGACGCUGAGGCACGAAAGCGUGGGUAGCGAACA